rnacentral:rRNA from 1 species
AUGAAAGUCCUCCUUUGGCUGCUGCACUUAGAUCGUCUGUGGUGCAACAAUAGGCUACAGAGACGCGGAUGGAUCAACAACUACUUCUGCCAGCUCUGCCUACGCAACCUUGAGUCCUCGACGCACCUGUUCUGGGAAUGCACCAUGACCAUUCAGUGCUGGAACGAGAUGGCAACCUGGCUAGGAUGCCACUCUUUCAGUCAUUCCGUCUGGAGCGCGGGAAGGUCCCCGGCCGAAAGGGUUCGCCGGAUCAUCGAUGGAGCCAACCCUGGCACGAGGAAGGGCACCAGAUCGCUGCUCACCCUGAUGAUCUGGCAAAUUUGGUCAGAGCGGAAUGCGUGCACCUUCAGAGGGAAAUCACCAUGUGCCAGCAGCAUCAUAGCGGCAUUGCCGCCGUGA